GACCGGGCCAGGGCCGGCGGGGAGGGGGUUGAAGUUGGCGUGCGGAAGUGGGUAAACCUCAGGAACCGAUGGCAACACCUGUUUGUUGCCGUGUUUUACAUUGAUUAUCGCAGCGAUGUGUCCGCUGGUGUCAUGGACGGAGGCCUGGAGAAGAGCGCCGAGCCGCCAGCUGGGCUGAGCUCUGCCAAACCUGGAUCGCCUUAGCGAGAGGAAGGGAGUCCCUCGGCCAAAAACUGGAUCGCCUUAGCAAGAGGAAGAGAGUCUCGGCUCUCCAGAGGAGCGAGAUUUAGGGCGUCUGGCAGCCCUCCCGACGGUCACCGUGAGGUCACUGCAGCCAUACGGCUGGCCCAAACACAGCUGAAAUUAGUGCUUUGAUUUAUUCACCACUUGACGCCUUCAGCCACACUUCCAGUUUGCUCACUGUGCUAAAUUCACUGAGGGUGGAGUGUUUUGUUGUUUUUUUUUUACAGCCGAGAGUGCUUUUGCCUGUUGCCUGUAGAGAAAGGACCCAGGCGUUUACAGUUAUGACUGCUGAGAACUGCAAACACAGCUCCGAUCAUCAUCUUGUGUUUUACAUGUAGUCAGACUGUGUUGUGACAAGGAGAAGACUGUGUGAUACUUGCAUACGCCUACUUGAACAGAUGCAAAUGCAGAUCUUGCCUUGGUCUUCUCAGAGUACCCAGGAGAAUCCUGUUAGCUCCAGUAAUAUUGACCGACCCUAUCACUUGGAAUAAUGACAUAAAAUGAGCAGGAGGGAAGCAAAUUGAAUACUAACAGUAGCAAUUUGUAUCCUAACUGUGUGCAUGGACAUAGACCUGAAUUCUUCAGUGCAAGGUGCCAUCCAGACACCACACAGAGGGUAUACGUGGUUCUAAAAAGAAAAAUUGGGAAAUAGCCUUAAUGGUGAAGCAAUAUCAGAAAAUAUGCCUAAUGAUCAUGAGCUAACUGAUUAAAUAUAAUUAAUCUAGUGAUAUUUCAAUAUUAACAGCAGCAUGCUGCUCUUCACACAGGAUGUCCCAGACUUUUUGUUUCCAGCAGGCUCUCAGGCUGCCAUAUCCAAGGACUCAGAGAGGAAGGUGUCUGGAUGUCCUGAAGAAUUCUGAAUUCAGGAGUGCAGUUUAACUUGUUUUCCAAUCCUCCUUAAGUUUUCCCUGUACCAUUUGAGUCACAGUAUUAACAUUUCACGUCCCUUUUUCUUUUGGAACACAGUUUUGAAAUGCCUUCUUGUCCAUCCUGCUGCUUGUUAAUCUUUCUCAUAUAAAUUUUAAAGAAAAAAAAUUACAGGACAGACCAAUGUUUUCAUCUGUUUGCCAGAUCAGGGAGACCAAAACAUUCCAGAACUG